rnacentral:rRNA from 1 species
CCCUUAGACGUUCUGGGCCGCACGCGCGCUACACUGACCAGUGCAACAAGCAUCCGUCCUUGGCCGACAGGCCCGGGCAAUCUUUGAACGCUGGUCGUGAUGGGGAUAGACUUUUGCAAUUUUUGGUCUUCAACGAGGAAUUCCUAGUAAACGCAAGUCAUCAGCUUGCAUUGAUUACGUCCCUGCCCUUUGUACACACCGCCCGUCGCUCCUACCGAUUGAAUGAUCCGAUGAAUAUCAUGGAUUGAGGAUGCAAGUAGGUUAGCCUAUCUUCAUCUUCGAGAAGUGAAGUAAAUCUUAUCAUUUAGAGGAAGGAGAAGUCGUAACA